rnacentral:rRNA from 1 species
GAUGAACGCUGGCGGCGUGCCUAAUACAUGCAAGUCGAGCGAACAGACGAGGAGCUUGCUCCUCUGACGUUAGCGGCGGACGGGUGAGUAACACGUGGAUAACCUACCUAUAAGACUGGGAUAACUUCGGGAAACCGGAGCUAAUACCGGAUAAUAUAUUGAACCGCAUGGUUCAAUAGUGAAAGACGGUUUUGCUGUCACUUCUCGAUGGAUCCGCGCCGCAUUAGCUAGUUGGUAAGGUAACGGCUUACCAAGGCGACGAUGCGUAGCCGACCUGAGAGGGUGAUCGGCCACACUGGAACGGAGACACGGUCCAUACUCCUACGGGAGGCAGCAGUAGGGAAUCUUCCGCAAUGGGCGAAAGCCUGACGGAGCAACGCCGCGUGAGUGAUGAAGGUCUUCGGAGCGUAAAACUCUGUUAUGAGUGAAGAACAAAUGUGUAAGUAACUAUGCACUUCUUGACGGUACCUAAUCAGAAAGCCACGGCUAACUACGUG